CACUAACAUUUGCUGUUUGUCACACAGGUGGUCCUCCUCGUCCAGGCAUGCUACCAACGCCCCCUAUGGGAGGUCCGCCUAUGAUGCCCAUGAUGGGGCCUCCACCACAUGGAAUGAUGCCCGGUGGACCAGGAGGCAUGAGGCCGCCGAUGGGAGGACCCAUGCAGAUGAUGCCAGGACCGCCACACAUGAUGCGUCAUCCUCGCCCGAUGAUGAUGCCAGUCAGGCCGGGCAUGAUGCGACCAGACAGAUAAGACCGGUUGGAUUUUCUCCGUUCUUUGUUGCCAUGAACAGACACUGUCUAGUGAGGACACUUCGGUUAACACUCGGAUUUUUCAGCACAACUUAUGAAACUGUCAAAUGUCCAAACUCCUCAAACCUGAAUUCCCUGAUUCAAUAAUGUUAUUUUUGUAUAACAACUUCAUUUUCUUGUGCCAGAAUCGUGGUAUUUAUUACUAUUCACCUCACUAGAAUACAUUUCGACCUUUUUUUAUUUUUUUUAAACAUCCUCUUGUGUGUUAACAUCAAGUGUGAAAUAUCUCGUCUUACUUUGACAAACUGUUCAGCAGGCACAUUUAAAGAGCCUGUUUGAUAUGACAAUAUUUGUUACUAUAUUUUUACUUUUGUUUUAGGUUUUACGUGUUUUUGUUGAAUGUCAUUACUUUGAGAAUAAAACAGUGAUUUCAAACCUG